GGCGAACGGGUGAGUAAUACGUGAGUAACCUGCCCUUGACUCUGGGAUAAGCCUGGGAAACUGGGUCUAAUACUGGAUACUACCUCUUACCGCAUGGUGGGUGGUGGAAAGGGUUUUACUGGUUUUGGAUGGGCUCACGGCCUAUCAGCUUGUUGGUGGGGUAAUGGCUCACCAAGGCGACGACGGGUAGCCGGCCUGAGAGGGUGACCGGCCACACUGGGACUGAGACACGGCCCAGACUCCUACGGGAGGCAGCAGUGGGGAAUAUUGCACAAUGGGCGGAAGCCUGAUGCAGCGACGCCGCGUGAGGGAUGACGGCCUUCGGGUUGUAAACCUCUUUCAGUAGGGAAGAAGCGAGAGUGACGGUACCUGCAGAAGAAGCGCCGGCUAACUACGUGCCAGCAGCCGCGGUAAUACGUAGGGCGCAAGCGUUGUCCGGAAUUAUUGGGCGUAAAGAGCUCGUAGGCGGUUUGUCGCGUCUGCUGUGAAAGCCCGGGGCUCAACCCCGGGUCUGCAGUGGGUACGGGCAGACUAGAGUGCAGUAGGGGAGACUGGAAUUCCUGGUGUAGCGGUGAAAUGCGCAGAUAUCAGGAGGAACACCGAUGGCGAAGGCAGGUCUCUGGGCUGUUACUGACGCUGAGGAGCGAAAGCAUGGGGAGCGAACAGGAUUAGAUACCCUGGUAGUCCAUGCCGUAAACGUUGGGCACUAGGUGUGGGGGACAUUCCACGUUUUCCGCGCCGUAGCUAACG
rnacentral:rRNA from 1 species